UGGGGAAUCUUGGACAAUGGGCGCAAGCCUGAUCCAGCCAUGCCGCGUGAGUGAAGAAGGCCUUCGGGUUGUAAAGCUCUUUUACCAGGGACGAUAAUGACGGUACCUGGAGAAUAAGCCCCGGCUAACUACGUGCCAGCAGCCGCGGUAAUACGUAGGGUGCGAGCGUUAAUCGGAUUUACUGGGCGUAAAGCAUGCGCAGGCGGCGGUUCAAGUCAGGUGUGAAAUCCCCGAGCUUAACUUGGGAAUUGCGCUUGAAACUAGAUCGCUAGAGUACGGCAGAGGGGGGUAGAAUUCCACGUGUAGCAGUGAAAUGCGUAGAGAUGUGGAGGAACACCGAUGGCGAAGGCAGCCCCCUGGGCCUGUACUGACGCUCAUGCAUGAAAGCGUGGGGAGCAAACAGGAUUAGAUACCCUCGUAGUCCCUGAGCGGGCUGGCAAGGCGCAU
rnacentral:rRNA from 1 species